rnacentral:rRNA from 1 species
GUGAAGAGGGGGGGAGGAGCAGGGGGAAAAGAGAGGGUGGGAGCGGUAAGCGGAAGUAGUUGGAGUAGAGGGUGCGUAGACGGUUGUGUAAGUCGGAUGUGAAAGCCCCGAGGUUAAGCUGGGAAUUGCGAUCGAGACUGCACAGCGAGGAUGCGGAAGAGGGCAGUGGAAUGUCCGGUGUAGCGGUGAAAGGCAUAGAUAUCGGAAGGAACAGCAGUGGCGAAAGCGACUGCCUGGUCCAGCAUCGACGUUCAGGCACGAAAGCGUGGGGAGCAAACAGGAUUAGAUACCCGGGUAGUC